rnacentral:lncRNA from 1 species
GCCUAGGAUGCGAAAAAUAUCAGCAGAGAUAUGAAUGCAGAAAAGGAAAGAAAUUAUUUUUGGAUAUUUUUUAGAGAGAAAAAGUUUGGAUUAAAAUCAUCCAUUCAUUCUCCCAUGCUCUUCUAAUCUCAUCCAUCCAUCUCUUAGCCCUUGUUCCUUUCAUUAGUCCUACAUCUGAAACAAACAAAAGCCUCUCCCCU